rnacentral:tRNA from 1 species
GAGGAUAUAGCUCAGUGGUAGAGUGCAUGCAUGGUUAGCAUGCAUGAGGUCCUGGGUUCAAUCCCCAGUACCUCCA